AAUUAARRAAUUUGGSGGUAUUUUAGUCUUUUCAGAGGAAUCUGUCCUGUAAUCGAUAAUCCACGAUUAGAAUUACUUAUUUUACAAAUUUGUAUAUCGUUGUAGUUGAAUAUUUUUUAAAAAUUAAAAUAUUCAUAAAAUUUAAUUAAAUAGAAAAUCAAAUCAAGGUGCAGUUUAUAAAUAAGAAGAGAUGGAUUACAAUAUAUUAAUAUGUGAAUUUUUAAUUUAAAAUUAAAAUGAAAAUGGAUUUGAAAGUAAUUUUUAAAUUUUAAUAAMAUGRUUU
rnacentral:rRNA from 1 species